rnacentral:lncRNA from 14 species
ACUUGUAAAGCCCACUAAAAAUAAGCAGAAAAGCAAAACUUCAGGAUGCUAAUUUUGGGGAUAAAAAUGCAUUUGAGACUGUUUCUCUCUCAGCACAAACAUCUCAACUGAAAGAAACUUGAUUGGAAUAAUUACUUCUUUGUCCCGGUCGGCACCAACAAGAUUACCUGGCAGAGAAAGGGUCACAAGUGGGAAAUGGCUGCAGAAAACCUGAAUGGAUCUUCACUGAAUAACCAUGGAAACCAGGUAUCCAGAGUCCAGUUCCCCCUUGGAAACAUCUAAGACCCUGUAUACUGUGUAGCCCUAAACCCCUGCUGACCCCUGCUCAGGUCAGUGAAACAUGUACUGUGCUGAGCCUGGGAAGAACAAUGUCUUCAACAGGACUGUUAUGUUACAGACUAAUGUUGAUGUAAAUGCGGCACACAGU